AGGAGCUGGAUGAGAAGAAACUCUCAUGUCCAGUUCUGUAGUAGAGAUGGAAUUCAAGCUCUUAUUUUUGCAACUUUAGCUGAGGCUUAUAUAGGCGAAUCCAU
rnacentral:ncRNA from 1 species